rnacentral:rRNA from 1 species
GACGAACGCUGGCGGCGUGCUUAACACAUGCAAGUCGAACGGAAAGGCCCUGCUUUGGUGGGGUGCUCGAGUGGCGAACGGGUGAGUAACACGUGAGUAACCGUCCCUUGACUUUGGGAUAACUUCAGGAAACUGGGGCUAAUCCCGGAUAGGAGCUCCUGCUGCAUGGUGGGGGUUGGAAAGUUUCGGCGGUUGGGGAUGGACUCGCGGCUUAUCAGCUUGUUGGUGGGGUAGUGGCUUACCAAGGCCUUGACGGGUAGCCGGCCUGAGAGGGUGACCGGCCACAUUGGGACUGAGAUACGGCCCAGACUCCUACGGGAGGCAGCAGUGGGGAAUAUUGCACAAUGGGCGGAAGCCUGAUGCAGCAGCGCCGCGUGCGGGAUGACGGCCUGCGCGUUGUAAACCGCUUUCGCCUGUGACGAAGCGUGAGUGACGGUAAUGGGUAAAGAAGCACCGGCUAACUACGUG